rnacentral:rRNA from 1 species
UACGAAGGGGGCUAGCGUUGCUCGGAAUCACUGGGCGUAAAGGGUGCGUAGGCGGGUCUUUAAGUCAGAGGUGAAAUCCUGGAGCUCAACUCCAGAACUGCCUUUGAUACUGAGGAUCUUGAGUACGGGAGAGGUGAGUGGAACUGCGAGCGUAGAGGUGAAAUUCGUAGAUAUUCGCAAGAACACCAGUGGCGAAGGCGGCUCACUGGCCCGUUACUGACGCUGAGGCACGAAAGCGUGGGGAGCAAACAGG